rnacentral:rRNA from 1 species
UGGGGAAUAUUGCGCAAUGGGGGGAACCCUGACGCAGCCAUGCCGCGUGAAUGAAGAAGGCCUUCGGGUUGUAAAGUUCUUUCGGUAUUGAGGAAGGUUGAUGUGUUAAUAGUACAUCAAAUUGACGUUAAAUACAGAAGAAGCACCGGCUAACUCCGUGCCAGCAGCCGCGGUAAUACGGAGGGUGCGAGCGUUAAUCGGAAUAACUGGGCGUAAAGGGCACGCAGGCGGUUAUUUAAGUGAGGUGUGAAAGCCCUGGGCUUAACCUAGGAAUUGCAUUUCAGACUGGGUAACUAGAGUACUUUAGGGAGGGGUAGAAUUCCACGUGUAGCGGUGAAAUGCGUAGAGAUGUGGAGGAAUACCGAAGGCGAAGGCAGCCCCUUGGGAAUGUACUGACGCUCAUGUGCGAAAGCGUGGGGAGCAAACAGGAUUAGAUACCCUGGUAGUCCACGCUGUAAACGCUGUCGAUUUGGGGGUUGGGGUUUAACUCUGGCGCCCGUAGCUAACGUGAUAAAUCGACCGCCUGGGGAGUACGGCCGCAAGGUUA